AUGAAAACCUGCCUAUCCCAUAUCAUUAAUGACAAUUCCCUAGAUUUCCUUUGUUUGCAAGAAACUUAAAAAAAGAAUUUUAUGGAUAGUUAUUUCAGAAAGCUUGACCCACACAAAUGUUUUGAGUGGGAAUGGAUCCCCUCAAUUGGUAAAGCUGGGGGCAUCUUAUGUGGGGUUAGAAAGGAAAAAUUUGAAGUAAUUGCUUGGAGGAAAGGUAGAUUUAUUCUUCAGGUAUCCCUCUAUGAUAUCAGUAUGAAGAAAAUUUGGACCCUCUGUACUGUGUAUGGAGCGGCUCAUGAGAGUGAUAAAAGUGAGUUUCUUAGUGAAUUUGCAGAUUUCUGCUGCCAUAUUCAAACACCAUUAUUGAUCGGAGGUGAUUUCAAUAUCCUCAGACAUAGUGGAGAGAAAAAUAAAAGAUGGCGUCGCUCAGCCCAUUCUGACCUGUUUAACUCGAUCAUCAACACUAUGUGUUUAAAUGAGAUACAUAUGAGUGGGGGGCCUACACUUGGUCCAAUAACCAAGCUAAUCCUACCUUGGAGAAAUUGGACCGUGUACUCAUGA
rnacentral:rRNA from 1 species